AUGGAGUUCCUGCAGGACAGCAUCCCCAAGGUGUGCCUCGCCGCCGCGGCCGCCGCGCUGUACGCGCGCGCGUCGUCGUCCCUCCUCCGGCCCGGCCUCCCCCGCCUCGUCGCGCUGCUCCCGGUGCUCGCGUUCCUCGCCGCCGCGCCCUUGGCGUGCACUUCCUCCACCAACGUCCGGGGCACCGCCGCCUUCUUCCUCGCCUGGCUCGGCACAUUCAAGGUCGCCCUCCUCGCCGCCGGCCGCGGGCCGCUCGACCCAGCGCUGCCCGUGCUCACGUUCCUCUUCACCGCCUUGCUCCCCGUCAAGCUCCGCGGAGCAGCGGCGCCGGCCAAGGCCGGCAAGCCGGUGUCGCUCGUUUCCUGCGCGGUCAAGGUCGCCGUCAUAGCCGUCCUGCUCUGGCUCUACCAGUUCAGCGACCGGAUGCACCUCUACGCGCGCCUCGCGCUGUACGGCGUCCACAUGUACUGCUUCUUCGACCUCCUCCUCCCCUGCAUCGCGGCCGCCGGCGGCGCGCUCGGCAUGGAGAUGGAGCCGCAGUUCGACCGGCCGUACCUGGCCUCGUCGCUGCGCGACUUCUGGGGCCGGCGGUGGAACCUCAUGGUGUCCGCCAUCCUCCGGCCGUCGGUCUACGACCCCGUGCGCGCCCGCGCAGGGAGCGCCGCCGGCGUGCUGGCCUCGUUCGCGGUGUCCGGGCUGAUGCACGAGGCCAUGGUGUGCUACCUCAGCCUGCGGUGGCCGCCCAGCGGCGGGAUGGCCGCGUUCUUCGUCCUCCACGGCGUCUGCUGCGUCGCCGAGGGGUGGUGGGCGCGGCGGUGGGCGACGAGCGGGUGGCCGCCCCUGCAGCGCCCCGUGGCCACGGCGCUGGUGGGGCUGUUCGUGACGGCCACGUCGUUCUGGCUCUUCUUCCCGGCUCUUCUUCCCGGGGUCGAGGAGAAGCUGAUGGAGGAGUGGGCCGCAGUGGGGGCUUUCUUCCUCGACGCCGGCGGGAAAGUUCCGUCGUAUGGUCAACGGAGCAAAAGUUAG
rnacentral:rRNA from 1 species